rnacentral:rRNA from 1 species
CACGUGGACAACCUAACCUAUGGAGGGGGAUAACCCCGGGAAACUGGGGAUAAUACCCCAUAGACUAUAAAUGCUGGAAUGCUUUGUAGUUGAAAGGUCCGCCGCCAUAGGAUGGGUCUGCGGCCGAUUAGGUUGUUGUUGGGGUAACGGCCCAACAAGCCUGUAAUCGGUACGGGUUGUGGGAGCAAGAGCCCGGAGAUGGAUUCUGAGACACGAAUCCAGGCCCUACGGGGCGCAGCAGGCGCGAAAACUUUACAAUGCGGGAAACCGUGAUAAGGGAACUCCGAGUGCCCGUAAAAUCGGGCUGUCCAUCUGUGUAAAAAACAGGUGAAGAAAGGGCCGGGCAAGACCGGUGCCAGCCGCCGCGGUAAUACCGGCGGCUCGAGUGGUGGCCACUAUUACUGGGCUUAAAGCGUUCGUAGCUGGUCUGUUAAGUCUCUGGGGAAAUCUACUGGCUUAACCAAUAGGCGUCUCAGGGAUACUGGCAGACUAGGGACCGGGAGAGGUGAGAGGUACUCCAG